AUCCAGUUGGGGAGUCUCAAAUAGGACGAGACGGGCGUCCUGGAU
rfam:Schistosoma margrebowiei strain Zambia genome assembly, scaffold: SMRZ_scaffold0000211